rnacentral:rRNA from 1 species
UACGUAGGGGGCGAGCGUUGUUCGGAUUCACUGGGCGUAAAGGGUGCGUAGGCGGUCGGGUAAGUCUGAUGUGAAAUCUCACAGCUUAACUGUGAAACUGCAUUGGAUACUAUCCGGCUAGAGGAAUGGAGGGGAGACUGGAAUACUUGGUGUAGCAAUGAAAUGCGUAGAUAUCAAGUGGAACACCAGUGGCGAAGGCGAGUCUCUGGACAUUUCCUGACGCUGAGGCACGAAAGCCAGGGGAGCAAACGGG